AGGUUGGGCGCGAGGGGGUAAAAGGAAGGGCUAGGUCAAAAGAGUUUACUAUGCAUAUGAAUAUAUCAUAAGAUGGAUAGAGACAAUACUCAAGGUAGGGGUAAGAUAAUGAUAGAAGGGUAGUGUGACACACACAAGAAUCACCUCAAGAUAACUAAGUUAGGGAAAUGACUAAGAGUUAGCUCUAGGUUCAUAUGUACUUCCUAUCUACUACACAGAUCAUACAAGUAUAACAUACAUACACAAUGUAUAGGACUUCGGCUGAUGCACCUAGGCACACACGGGGAGACAAUACACGCACUGGUUCUGCUUGGUAAAGUUACUUCUAAUUUUCAAACUCCUACAGCAUACCCGAAUAUGGGGGAUUACCAAGGAUGGACAAGGCUGUCAACACCUGCCGCCUACCCUAGCAGCCCGUGGUGUAAACUCAUAUCCAGUGAAGCUAAGUAAUCCAAGCACCAUGCUUGCAUUGUUAACAACACUCCAGUCGUCUUGAGCUAUUGUGACAAGGGACGAAGCCA
rnacentral:lncRNA from 1 species